rnacentral:rRNA from 1 species
AUUGAACGCUGGCGGCAUGCCUUACACAUGCAAGUCGAACGGCAGCGCGGGGCAACCUGGCGGCGAGUGGCGAACGGGUGAGUAAUAUAUCGGAACGUGCCCUGGAGUGGGGAUAACGUAGCGAAAGUUACGCUAAUACCGCAUACGAUCCAAGGAUGAAAGCAGGGGACCUUCGGGCCUUGUGCUCCUGGAGCGGCCGAUAUCUGAUUAGCUAGUUGGUGGGGUAAAAGCCUACCAAGGCGACGAUCAGUAGCUGGUCUGAGAGGACGACCAAGCCACACUGGAACCGAGACACGGUCCAGACUCCUACGGGAGGCAGCAGUGGGGAAUUUUGGACAAUGGGGCGAACCCUGAUCCAGCAAUGCCGCGUGUGUGAAGAA